CUAACAACUUUGAGAAGGAAAGUAGAUAUAAAUAAGCUUUUAGAGAGCCCUCAUUUGCUGAAAAAGGGCAGCUGAUGUUUUAUCGAAAAUGGCCUUUGAGUUUAACAAUCGAACAGCUUUGGCCUUUAGAUUGUUACAGGUGCACCUGUUAUCGUGCAACAGUUUAACGAAUCGAAUUUGAUUCAAGAACUGUUUGAGAUAGGAAUCUUGAGAUUCUUAUAAAUUAAGGUGGUAACACGACGUUUAAACGCUCGUCCUUUCU
rfam:Carnobacterium maltaromaticum LMA28 complete genome